CGGGGGAGCAAGCGUUGUUCGGAUUUACUGGGCGUAAAGGGCGCGUAGGCGGCCACCGCAAGUCGACUGUGAAAUCUCCGGGCUUAACCCGGAAAGGUCAGCCGAUACUGCGGGGCUAGAGUGCAGAAGGGGCAACUGGAAUUCUCGGUGUAGCGGUGAAAUGCGUAGAUAUCGAGAGGAACACCUGCGGCGAAGGCGGGUUGCUGGGCUGACACUGACGCUGAUGCGCGAAAGCUGGGGGAGCGAACGGGAUUAGAUACCCCGGUAGUCCUAGCCUUAAACGAUGAAUGCUUGGUGUCUGGGGUUUUAUAGUCCCCGGGUGCCGUCGCUAACGCUUUAAGCAUUCCGCCUGGGGAGUACGGUCGCAAGACUG
rnacentral:rRNA from 1 species